rnacentral:rRNA from 1 species
GACAGAGGAUGCAAGCGUUGUCCGGAAUUAUUGGGCGUAAAGAGCUUGUAGGCGGUUUGUCGCGUCUGCCGUGAAAUUUCGAGGCUCAACCUCGAACUUGCGGUGGGUACGGGCAGACUAGAGUGUGGUAGGGGGAGACUGGAAUUCCUGGUGUAGCGGUGAAAUGCGCAGAUAUCAGGAGGAACACCGAUGGCGAAGGCAGGUCUCUGGGCCACUACUGACGCUGAGAAGCGAAAGCAUGGGGAGCGAACAGG